CUGCUGCUGGUGCUGGUGCUGUGACUGGCCGCGGGGGUAGAGCGCCAGGUGGUCCUCCGCCAGGGUGACGGCGGCCGCCAACCCGGUCGGUCGAUGGCACCUCACCCAGUUCGCUGUCUCCCCCGGGAGGCUAUCGAUAAACCGUUCAAGUGUCACCAGCUCUACCACUCCGUCGGCUGACCGGAGUUCCGGUCGGAGCCACCGUCGGGCCAUAUCCAGCAGUCUCUGGGCGUAGGCGAAUGGCCGGUCCUCUCCUGCCAGAGCCGUCUGUCGGAACCGCCGCCGGUGCUCUUCCGGGCUGUACCCCAGGCGGUCCAGGACCGCCUUCUUUAGGUUUAGGUAGACAGCCCGCGCGGUGGGGGGUAAGCUGUGCGCCGCCUGUUGGGCUUCCCCAGUCAAGAGGGGCAGGAGGCGGACGACCCACUCCUCCUCCGGCCAUUGACUCGCCUUCGCUGCCACUUCAAACCCCUCCAGGAAUGCCUCAGCAUCGUCCUCCGGGGUCAUCUUAGGCAAGUGAAGAGCUACGGGGGGUUUGUUCUGUCGCUCGCGGGAGCUAGUUUCUCCCGCAGCAGCCAGCUGCAGUAGAGCCUGCGUCUGCAGGGAUGUCUGUGCUCGCAGAGCCUCAAGUUGCUCGGCGUGCAUCACCGCCUGCCUUUCUUGCAUUGCUGCCAUCCCCUCCAGCAUCCUCGCAAGCGCUACCACUGGCUGUGCCGGUUCCCCCUGCUCCUGGCUGUGUUCCAUUUUUUCUCCUUUGUGCAGUGUGUUUAAUUCGAGUCUCCCUCGCACGGGCCACCACUGUGGCAAAUGAGUGCCACCCCUCCUAACCCAAACACACUCACGGGAGACACUGUUUUCAGUUCGUAGCACUUGCGUGCUAUUUUAUUUAAGCCCGUGGCUUUUUCUUGGUUACAAUAAAUCACAGCGCUUUUUCUCGCCGUCAUAGCUAUUUGUACAGAAACAGUAUUUGUGGAAUUAAGGGGUACCACUGCUGGUUGGUGUGUACAAACCUGCUGUCACAUGACUCUGACUCCCAUUUCAUUUCAGGUAAAAUAAGACCAGCUGUGGAAGACAAAAAUGAAAAACCCCCAGGAGUCGCUGAGGUGACCUGUGCUGAAGUUCUGACCAAUGACAGGACACAGGAGCUGAGUGACGUGGUUUAGUCCAAUGUGAAUCCACACCAGUGCUCACAGAGCCCUCCCCCACGGGACCGAGUUGUGUACUCUACUGCUAACUAAUGAAAGGCCCACGUUUAGACGUUUUAGACAACGCUGCCAGACAGCCACUCCACACUCACCAGAAUUGCCUCAUGCUGAGAUUUUAUUUUGUUUCUUAUUCAAACCUGGGUCAAAUUUAAUAUGGCGACCUGCUAACAUUCGAAAACAGUUGUUCAGUUGUUCCCUGAGAAUUUUUACCAAAAUGUGUCCCUCAUCAAAACGUGUAAUUACAUAAGCCUUAUAAUUAUAUGAAAAUGUCAUUGAAUGGAAAUUCGAAUUAUAUGAAAAUAAGAUUCAUUUUCAUCUGAAUGUUUUGCAAGAAAAGAUGUUGCUUUUUAAAUUGUCAAUGGUCUGUAGGAGUUUCACUGCUGACUAAAGAAUUAAAGUAUUUGACCCUGGUGUGCUUGCUGUGACAUUACUGCAUUAUAAAAGUCUACAACCCUUUCUGUGUAAAAACAGUUUGAGCAGUGUAAUACCAUUUGAGCUUUGCAUGCAAACCAAUUGCUGCAACAUUGGUACAUGGAAAGGGUAUGACACCUGUGUUCCAUCCAUCCAUCCAUCCAUCCAUCAUCUAGAUCCUCAGGGUCGCGGGGGAUGCUGGAGCCUAUUCCAGGAUGCAUUGGGCGAGAUGCAGGAAUACACCCAGGACAGUUUGCCAGUCCACUGCUGGGCAACCUGUAUACCAGUUUAAUGGAAUUCAGAAAUAAGGGUGUGGAGGGCUGGUGUGGUUAGGGCGCUAUAUGCAGGUGGAGAGGGAGCGGUUUAGGUGGUUCAGCAACCACGGCUGUUUGCAAUUACGACUGAUUGGAAACUGUUUAUAUGUUCUGCCUGCAGUGAGACCGGGGCACUGAAUGAGAGACGCACGCGGGGGCGACGUGCUGUGUAAUCCCCUUCCUUACCGUGUGUGUGUGUGUGUGUGUGUGUGUGUGUACGUCCAUGUAACCAGCACACAAUAAAACCUGAGUGCGUCCCAGAACUGAGGAUUGUGUGGUUUGUGGAGAGAAGGACUACAAAUUGUGUUACAAAGGGGUAUCCUAGUAGAUUGUUAGUUUGCAUGUUUUUCGCUGUUACUUGGUUUUGAAUACAGCCAUUUAACAGGAGUUCUUCAUAUUUGGAGAAAGCUGGUUUGGCACAUUGACUAAACAUGUAUAAAUUAGAAUAUAAAACCCCCUCAGAGGUGGGCUGCUUUUAACUGACAGAACAUUACAGUUGCAUGAAGGAUUGUAAAUAACCAUUUCCUCAAUGUCCAAAUUCCUUUUUUAAGAAGACACAGAAAUCACAGGCUUUUUAUUUAUGAAUGCAAGUUCAACAAUACGACAACAACAUUUCUUCAAGUGUAUAACUCAUGUAUGCUACUAGCCUAACUGAUGUAUCUGCGCUACUAGUACAGACUGAUUGUGAUUGUGAUCUGUGGUGGGUAAACAGAAAAGGGGCCGGACAUUUUGUCUUUCAGCAUGCAUCCUCAGUGAAGUCACACAUGAAAUGCACUCAAAAUGGAAUACACGCAUUUACUGUGCAUUUCAGCAUAAAGCAGCAUGGUGCGCAUGAAAGCAUUUUCCUCCCUACAAACACCUUGUGGGAAGAAGGCAUGCUGUCAAAACACAUUGACAACAUCAAAUACGUUAUAUACAAACAGUAGAAUGCAUAUACUUUUUUCUGGCAUCAUUAAAAAUGUUCAGGAGCUUAUUAGUACUCACUGUAUGUCUGCAGCAUGCAUAAACUGUGCAAGAGGAUGCAGUGACUGCUGAGCAUCAGAUCUCAUAAUAUUUUUUUUUGUUGGGGGGGGGGGGGGGGGGGGGCAGUGUGUAUGCAGGUUCCGUUUCUGCCAGUUAGGCCCUGAGUCAAUUAGUUCCUCAUCAUGAUAAACCAACUCUGGUACAUACCAAGAUAAAGUCCACAUACCACAGUACAUCAUAUGGGGACACACAAUCAUGGACAAAAUCAUUCAUGAGCUUGUCCAGAUAUGUAGCUGAAAUGUCAGACCACAUGAAUGACGAACCUGUGCAGAAUUAUGAUAUUAAAUACUGCUUUCAUGUUUCAUGUUGUUUUCAUGUAAUCACCAUGCUGUCCACUAGCUCUCUCUACUGGGAAAUCUGCUGAAUGGGAAUGAAAGUUACAAAAUGGAAAGUAAACUGUUAAUGAACUGUUUAAAAAAAUUAUGUGUGUGUAAAUUAAUAUCUGUACAGCUUAGCAGAAUUUAUGUUAACUAGUGUUUAAUGCGCAAACGUGAAAUCUACAAAUAAUUAAACUUAAAAAUGCAAAUAAAUACAUUUUGAUUCAUUGAUGGUCAAGUUAGGUCAUGCUUUGUAGUCUGGAGACGGGAAGAAAAAAUGAAUGAGGAACAUUUUUUUUACUUUUUAAGAAAAGAAAUAGCCAUCUUUUACUUUUGCUCUCAGUGUUCUGAGGUGCUCUGGUUUGAGCAGAACGAUCGGCUUCCUGUCGACUUUUAGACAUCGUAUCUAGGGUAUCAGAUACUAUAUUUUACAUACUUUAACCUUUUAGACAGAUGAGUAACUUGUAUGACUUUUCUUCUUUCACGCGGCUGUUUUUUGAUAAAAAUUCUCGGGUAUGAAAGGUGUUUUCAAUUUCAUAGUCAUGGUCCAGCCCUAUAAAUUUUGAGCAUUAAGACAACUUCUUGGUGAACAGCAAGAGGAAAUAUCAUCACAUGAUCAGUUAAAAAUAGUAAAUAAUAAUAAAGCUUUAGAAAAUUGGGGUAAUGCGACACAGGAAUCUAAUUGAGGAAGUCCACUGUUGUGCCUGUACAGUGUUGUGACACAGAGUACUGAGGAGCAGCCUGUAGUUUUCUGACUAUGGAUUCCGCUAUCUUUAUUCUGCUUCUCAUUUUAGGUUGUCACUUAUCAAGGGGACAGGACAGAGUAGACGCAUCAGGAAGGGUUUUGCUGCGAUUGCCUUUUGAUCCGUAUUUCAAUUAUUAUGAAAAGUUCUGCUGCAGAUUUUACCAAGGUGUUUGUCUUCCUUUUGUGGACAACAGAGGAUAUGCCGGUGACAUCUACAAGGGAAGAAUAUCUCUAAUCGAAUACAAUGGAUGUAUGGAUGUGACAAUCUGGAAUUUACAAAAGUCAGACAGUGGACUGUACCGAUGUGCCAUAACUGAUUCACCCUAUCACGUUUACAAGGACUUCAUAGUUGUAAUACCAGGUAAGGCCCGUAUCGCUGAACAGCCUAUGCUGAUUAUCUCAAUGCCCAUUCAAAGUGCUGUUGUCUCAGAAAAGUUUGUUACAGGAGCCAAUCACUGCAUUUCCGCUGAUUCGGUUUCCUGGGUCUUUCAUUAUUAUGAGAGUUAUCUACUGAAAAAAUACUACUCGGGAUUCAUGUC